AAAUUGAAGAGUUUGAUCAUGGCUCAGAUUGAACGCUGGCGGCAGGCCUAACACAUGCAAGUCGAACGGUAACAGGAAGCAGCUUGCUGCUUUGCUGACGAGUGGCGGACGGGUGAGUAAUGUCUGGGAAACUGCCUGGUGGAGGGGGAUAACUACUGGAAACGGUAGCUAAUACCGCAUAACGUCGCAAGACCAAAGAGGGGGACCUUCGGGCCUCUUGCCAUCGGAUGUGCCCAGAUGGGAUUAGCUAGUAGGUGGGGUAACGGCUCACCUAGGCGACGAUCCCUAGCUGGUCUGAGAGGAUGACCAGCCACACUGGAACUGAGACACGGUCCAGACUCCUACGGGAGGCAGCAGUGGGGAAUAUUGCACAAUGGGCGCAAGCCUGAUGCAGCCAUGCCGCGUGUAUGAAGAAGGCCUUCGGGUUGUAAAGUACUUUCAGCGGGGAGGAAGGGAGUAAAGUUAAUACCUUUGCUCAUUGACGUUACCCGCAGAAGAAGCACCGGCUAACUCCGUGCCAGCAGCCGCGGUAAUACGGAGGGUGCAAGCGUUAAUCGGAAUUACUGGGCGUAAAGCGCACGCAGGCGGUUUGUUAAGUCAGAUGUGAAAUCCCCGGGCUCAACCUGGGAACUGCAUCUGAUACUGGCAAGCUUGAGUC
rnacentral:rRNA from 1 species